GGUUACCUUGAAGAUAUUCCUGCAAAGCAGUAGAAAACCCAGUCACAGGGAAUAUAUACACAUGUAGAGGGGAGAUAAUAGCUCCAUAUUCGCAAUCACAGCAAUGAAACUAGGCAUGAUUAUUGCCACUAAAGGUAACCUGAAAGAGUUUCACUAUUGGUACAACAUGCAAUCCUCAUCUAUAUGACAUUUGAGAACUUUGGCAUCUAUGGUAUUCACCUAAAGGUACAACUCAACUCAAUUCAACUCAAUUAAAUCUUUAUCUCAAAAAUUUGG
rnacentral:misc_RNA from 1 species